GAGGGAAAGGCGAAAAGAACCCCGGCGAGGGGAGUGAAAAAGAACCUGAAACCGUGUACGUACAAGCAGUAGGAGCCCCAUCACUCAAGUGCCUCGCACUGAGUGAUGCAAGAACAUCACCGAAAAUAGCGCCGAAUUUGCUAACAAGGUUGGUCGAUUUUUUCAAGCCGUCGCGCAGUGUACCUAGAAGUACACGAGCAACGGAAGUUAAAAAAUCGGGCAAGAUUGAACGCAAAGGCAAGCGGGACAUUUGAGGAUGGGGUGACUGCGUACCUUUUGUAUAAUGGGUCAGCGACUUAUAUUCUGUAGCAAGGUUAACCG
rnacentral:rRNA from 1 species